rnacentral:rRNA from 1 species
GACGGACGGUGCAAGCGUUGCUCGGAAUCACUGGGCGUAAAGGGCGCGUAGGCGGUUCGAUAAGUCCCGUGUGAAAUCCCUCGGCUCAACUGAGGAACUGCACGGGAAACUGACGGGCUUGAGUUCGGGAGAGGGAAGCGGAAUUCCGGGUGUAGCGGUGAAAUGCGUAGAUAUCCGGAGGAACACCGGUGGCGAAGGCGGCUUCCUGGACCGACACUGACGCUGAGGCGCGAAAGCUAGGGGAGCAAACGGG